rnacentral:rRNA from 1 species
AGAGACAGCAGCCGCCGCGGGAAUACGUAGGGUGCGAGCGCUAAUCGGAAUUACUGGGCGUAAAGCGUGCGCAGGCGGUUGUGUAAGACAGGUGUGAAAUCCCCGGGCUUAACCUGGGAACUGCGCUUGUGACUGCACAGCUAGAGUAUGGCAGAGGGGGGUGGAAUUCCACGUGUAGCAGUGAAAUGCGUAGAUAUGUGGAGGAAUACCGAUGGCGAAGGCAGCCCCCUGGGAUAACACUGACGCUCAUGCACGAAAGCGUGGGGAGCAAACAGGAUUAGAUACCCGCGUAGUCCCUGUCUCUUAUAC